rnacentral:rRNA from 1 species
GUGGGGAAUAUUGGACAAUGGGCGAAAGCCUGAUCCAGCAAUGCCGCGUGAGUGAUGAAGGCCUUAUGGUUGUAAAGCUCUUUUACCAGGGAUGAUAAUGACAGUACCUGGAGAAUAAGCUCCGGCUAACUCCGUGCCAGCAGCCGCGGUAAUACGGAGGGAGCUAGCGUUGUUCGGAAUUACUGGGCGUAAAGCGCACGUAGGCGGUUACUCAAGUCAGAGGUGAAAGCCCGGGGCGCAACCCCGGAACUGCCUUUGAAACUAGGUAACUAGAAUCUUGGAGAGGUCAGUGGAAGUCCGAGUGUAGAGGUGAAAUUCGUAGAUAUUCGGAAGAACACCAGUGGCGAAGGCGACUGACUGGACAAGUAUUGACGCUGAGGUGCGAAAGCGUGGGGAGCAAACAGGAUUAGAUACCCCGGUAGUCC